rnacentral:rRNA from 1 species
ACGGGGUGCAGCAGGCGCGAAAACUUUGCAAUGUGCGAAAGCACGACAAGGUUAAUCCGAGUGGUUUCUGCUAAAGGAACCUUUUGUUAGUCAUAGAACCACUAAUGAAUAAGGGGUGGGCAAGUUCUGGUGUCAGCCGCCGCGGUAAAACCAGCACCUCAAGUGGUCAGGAUGAUUAUUGGGCCUAAAGCAUCCGUAGCCGGCUUUGUUAGUUUUCGGUUAAAUCCAUACGCUCAACGUAUGGGCUGCCGGGAAUACUGCAAGGCUAGGGAGUGGGAGAGGUAGACGGUACUCGGUAGGAAGGGGUAAAAUCCUUUGAUCUAUUGAUGACCACCUGUGGCGAAGGCGGUCUACCAGAACACGUCCGACGGUGAGGGAUGAAAGCUGGGGGAGCAAACCGGAUUAGAUACCCGGGUAGUCCCAGCUGUAAACUAUGCAAACUCGGUGAUGCAUUGGCUUGAUGCCAAUGCAGUGCCGCAGGGAAGCCGUUAAGUUUGCCGCCUGGAAGUACGUACGCAA